rnacentral:tRNA from 1 species
GCGAGUGUGCUGGAAUUGGCAGACAGGCAUGUUUGAGGGGCAUGUGCUAGCUAUAGCGUAUGGGUUCAAAUCCCAUCACUCGCACCA